AUUGAACGCUGGCGGCAGGCCUAACACAUGCAAGUCGAGCGGAGCGGAGGACGGGUGAGUAAUGACUAGGUAUGUGCCUGGUAGUGGGGGAUAACUUACGGAUAUGGGCGAUAAGACCGCACACUUUCAGAUGAGCUUACGGCGGAUUAGCUAGUUGGUGGGGUAAAGGCCUACACAGGCGACGAUCCGUACCUGGUCUGAGAGGAUGAUCAGUCACACUGGAACUGAGACACGGUCCAGACGCCUACGGGAGGCAGAAGUGGGGAAUAUUGGACAAUGGGCGAAAUCCUGAUCCAGCCAUGCCGCGUGUGGGAAGAAGGUCUUCGGAUUGUAAAGCACUUUAAGUUGGGAGGCGUUACCAACAGAAUAAGCACCGGCUAACUUCGUGCCAGCAGCCGCGGUAAUUC
rnacentral:rRNA from 1 species